ACGGCUCAGUAACACGUAGUUAAUCUGUCCUUAGGUCAAGGAUAAGCUCGGGAAACUGAGUCUAAUACUUGAUAGGAGUUUUUAUCUGGAAAGAUAUUACUCUGAAACUUGUGCCUAAGAAUGAGACUGCGGCUGAUUAGGUUGUUGGUGGGGUAACUGCCUACCAAGCCGAUGAUCAGUAAGGGCCUUUAGCGAGGGAGCCCUGAGAAGGAAUCUGAGACACUAUUCCUAGCUCUACGGAGUGCAGCAAGCGCGAAUUUUUUACAAUGCACGAAAGUGUGAUAAAGCAAACCAAAGUGUUUUUCAUUUUGAAAAACUUUUGUCUGCUGUAAAAAUGCAGACGAAUAAGGACUGGGUAAAACUAGUGCCAGCCGCCGCGGUAAUACUAGUGGUCCAAGUUGCAGCCAUAAUUAUUGGGUCUAAAACAUCCGUAGCUUGUUUAAUAAGUUUCUUGUGAAAUUUCAUAUCUCAAAUAUGGAGCGGGCAGGAAAUACUAUUAGGCUAGAGACCGGUAGGUGUAAGGAGUAUGUUCGAGGUAGCGGUUAAAUGUGUUAAUCUUGAACAGACUAACAAUUAGCGAAGGCACCUUACAAGGACGGAUCUGACAGUGAGGGAUGAAGGCCAGGGGCGCAAAACGGAUUAGAUACCCGUGUAGUCCUGGCAGUAAACACUGCUCACUAAACAUCGGGCCCUCUUCGGGAGGAUUCGGUGCUGAAGCGAACGCGAAGAGUGAGCUACCUGGGAAGUAUAAUCGCAAGGUCGAAACUUAAAGGAAUUGGCGGGGGAG
rnacentral:rRNA from 1 species